rnacentral:tRNA from 1 species
GGCCGCCUGGCGAAAUGGCAUCACGUCUGACUACGAAUCAGGAGAUUGCAGGUUCGACCCCUGCGGUGGUCA